CUACGGGUCGCUCCAGUGGGGAAUAUUGGACAAUGGGGGAAACCCUGAUCCAGCAAUGCCGCGUGUGUGAAGAAGGCCUGCGGGUUGUAAAGCACUUUCGGUUGGGAGGACUGCUUCUAGCACUAAUAUUGUUGGAAGUUGACGUUACCUUCAGAAGAAGCACCGGCUAACUCCGUGCCAGCAGCCGCGGUAAUCCGGAGGGUGCAAGCGUUAAUCGGAAUUACUGGGCGUAAAGCGCGCGUAGGCGGCUAGAUCAGUCAGGUGUGAAAGCCCCGGGCUUAACCUGGGAACUGCAUCCGAUACUGUCGAGCUUGAGUACAGGAGAGGAGAGUGGAAUUCCACAUGUAGCGGUGAAAUGCGUAGAUAUGUGGAGGAACACCAAUGGCGAAGGCAGCUCUCUGGCCUGAUACUGACGCUGAGGUGCGAAAGCGUGGGGAGCAAACAGGAUUAGAUACCCCAGUAGUC
rnacentral:rRNA from 1 species